rnacentral:rRNA from 1 species
CCUACGGGAGGCAGCAGUGAGGAAUAUUUGUCAAUGGGCGGGAGCCUGAACCAGCCAAGCCGCGUGAAGGAAGAAGGCGCCAGGCGUCGUAAACGUCUUUUGUCGGGGAACAAAGGGCGCCACGCGUUGCGUUGGGAGUGUACCCGAAGAAAAAGCAUCGGCUAACUCCGUGCCAGCAGCCGCGGUAAUACGGAGGAUGCGAGCGUUAUCCGGAUUUAUGGGGUUUAAAGGGUGCGGAGGCGGUACGGAAAGUCAGCGGUAAAAGGCCGGCGCAAAACCCCGGAGAGCCGUUGAAACUGUCGGACUAGAGACGGUGAGAAGUACGCGGAAUGCGCGGUGUAGCGGUGAAAUGCAUAGAUAU